rnacentral:rRNA from 1 species
UUUUAUUAAUUUAUUUAUUUUUUUUUUUUAUUAUUUUUAAAUUAUUUUCUUUUGUUUUUGUAUUUAGUAUAGAUCUAAUUUUUUUGGUUUAGCUUAUUGGUACUGUGAAGGAAAAUUUUAUUAAUUAUUUAAAAGUAUUAUUUGUUUUAUGUACCUUGUGUAUCAGGAUUUAUUAAAAUUUUAUUAUUUAUUUACUUUUCUCGAAAAUUAAAGAUUUAAUUGGUUUAAUUAUUUUAUUGUUAUAUAAUUAUUUAUAAUAAUCAAUUAGUGGUGAAAUGUUAUUCGAUUUAUUUGAUAUCUGGUUAUUCAAGAAAUUAAUUUAAUUUAGAUUUUAGUUUUAAUAUUUUUUUAUUUUAAUUAUUUUAAGCUAUUAUUAAUAUUAUGAGGGAUAAGCUUUGUAUUAUAAAUAUAUAAUUUUUUUUUGUUGUUGAGUUGUGUUGAUUUAAUAGUGGUUAUCUAUUUGGAGAAUUUAAUAAUUUUAUUUUUUUAUUAUUAUAUUUAUAUUUUAUUUAUAUUUUUUAUUGAAUCAAUUGAUUUAUUUUUGUUUUUGAUGGGAUAAUGAUGGAAUUAGUAUAAUUUUAUUUUUAUUAUUUUUUUUUAAAAAAUUAAUUUAGAGGAAUUCGGCAAAAUUUAUUGCUCGCUUGUUUAACAAAAACAUCUUUUUUUGUAUUAUUUAUAAAAUAUAACCUGCCCACUGAAUUAAUUUUAAGGGCCGCGGUAUUGUGACCGUGCAAAGGUAGCAUAAUCAUUAGUUUUUUAAUUGAUAACUGGAAUGAAUGGUUGGACGAGGUAAUAGCUGUCUUUUUAUUAUUUUUUUUUGAAUUUAAUUUUUAAGUUAAAAAGCUUAAUUGUAAUUAUGGGACGAGAAGACCCUAUAGAAUUUUAUAAUUUUAGUAUUAUUUUUGGUUAAUUAUUUAUUAUUUAUACUUGAUUAUUUGGUUGGGGUGAUUAUUAAAUAUGAAAAACUUUUUUUUUUUUUUUCAUUUAUUUAUGUUUAUUUAUUGAUCCAUUUUUUAUGAUUAUGAGUUUAAAUUACCUUAGGGAUAACAGCGUAAUUUUUCUGGAGAGUUCUUAUUGAUAGGAGAGAUUACGACCUCGAUGUUGAAUUAAGAUUAAUACUUGGUGAAGAAUUUAAGUUUAUUAGGUCUGUUCGACCUUUAAUAUCUUACAUGAUUUGAGUUCAAACCGGUGUGAGCCAGGUUGGUUUUUAUCUAUAUUUUUAUAUAAUAUUUUAGUACGAAAGGACCAGAUAUUUGGAAUAAUUUUUUAUAAUUUGUUUUAUAUUAAAU